UAAUAGAAGAAGGGGAGGUCGUGAAUUUCGGCCUGAGAGUUCUGCGUGCUAAGCAGAUGACCCAAUGAACCUGAUCUGGAUAAUGCCAGCGUAGGAAGAAGAUUUUUAACCCUU
rnacentral:ncRNA from 2 species